UACGUAGGGUGCAAGCGUUAAUCGGAAUUACUGGGCGUAAAGCGUGCGCAGGCGGUUAUGCAAGACAGAUGUGAAAUCCCCGGGCUCAACCUGGGAACUGCAUUUGUGACUGCAUAGCUAGAGUGCGGCAGAGGGAGAUGGAAUUCCGCGUGUAGCAGUGAAAUGCGUAGAUAUGCGGAGGAACACCGAUGGCGAAGGCAAUCCCCUGGACCUGUACUGACGCUCAUGCACGAAAGCGUGGGGAGCAAACAGG
rnacentral:rRNA from 1 species